UAUCUGCUUAAAAUUGGGAUUGAGAUAACUUUGCUGGGAAAAUUAGCAGCUGUGAGUAGUAAUCUUGAUGAAUCUUUGGUCAUUUUGUGGUUGUGGGGUGUGUCAAGAUUGAAUAAUCAGCCAAUUUUUUUAGGGUUUAGGUUUAGGAUUUACCUCUCAUUGAAUUUGUCUGUAUAAAAAUUGAGUUGGACCAAGUUUUGAGCCUAAAUUAACUCAGUUUCUGUGGCCUGUUGCAGAUAUAUGCCAUUCCAGUUUUUGACAUGAUGGAAAGUGUCCUUGUGAAGAAGAUGAAGCUAAAUCCAAGUUUGGGUUUGCGUAUUAUUACAAGGAAUAGUUAUGUUGCUUUUACAAUGUUUAUUGCCAUCACAUUCCCUUUCUUUGAUGGUCUUCUUAGUUUUUUUGGAGGAUUCGGUUUCGCCCCUACCACAUACUUCCUUCCCUGUAUCUUAUGGCUCGCCAUCUGCAAACGGAAGCGGUUCAACUCCUCUUGGUUUGCGAAUUGG